rnacentral:rRNA from 1 species
UGGGGAAUAUUGCACAAUGGGGGAAACCCUGAUGCAGCAACGCCGCGUGAGUGAAGAAGUAUUUCGGUAUGUAAAGCUCUAUCAGCAGGGAAGAUAAUGACGGUACCUGACUAAGAAGCUCCGGCUAAAUACGUGCCAGCAGCCGCGGUAAUACGUAUGGAGCAAGCGUUAUCCGGAUUUACUGGGUGUAAAGGGUGCGUAGGCGGCAGAGCAAGUCAGAUGUGAAAGACCGGGGCUCAACCCCGGGGCUGCAUUUGAAACUGUUUUGCUGGAGUCCGGGAGAGGCAGGCGGAAUUCCUAGUGUAGCGGUGAAAUGCGUAGAUAUUAGGAGGAACACCAGUGGCGAAGGCGGCCUGCUGGACCGGAACUGACGCUGAGGCACGAAAGCGUGGGGAGCAAACAGG